rnacentral:rRNA from 1 species
UACGUAGGGUGCAAGCGUUGUCCGGAAUUUAUUGGGCGUAAAGAGCUCGUAGGCGGCUCGAUGCGUCGUGCGUGAAACACCCCGGCUCAACUGGGGAGGGUCGUGCGAUACGGUCGGGCUUGAGGCCAGUAGGGGGAUGCGGAAUUCCGGGUGUAGUGGUGGAAUGCGUAGAGAUCCGGAGGAACACCAGCGGCGAAGGCGGCAUCCUGGACUGGUACUGACGCUCAGGAGCGAAAGCGUGGGGAGCGAUCCGG